UACGUAGGGUGCAAGCGUUACUCGGAAUUAUUGGGCGUAAAGGGUGCGUAGGCGGUUUUUUAAGUCUGGCGUGAAAUCCCCGGGCUCAACCUGGGAAUGGCGAUGGAUACUGGACAGCUAGAGUGUGUCAGAGGAUGGUGGAAUUCCCGGUGUAGCGGUGAAAUGCGUAGAGAUCGGGAGGAACAUCAGUGGCGAAGGCGGCCAUCUGGGACAACACUGACGCUGAAGCACGAAAGCGUGGGGAGCAAACAGG
rnacentral:rRNA from 1 species